UACGGGGGGGGCAAGCGUUGUUCGGAAUUACUGGGCGUAAAGGGCUCGUAGGCGGCCAACUAAGUCAGACGUGAAAUCCCUCGGCUUAACCGGGGAACUGCAUCUGAUACUGGAUGGCUUGAGAUUGGGAGAGGGAUGCGGAAUUCCAGGUGUAGCGGUGAAAUGCGUAGAUAUCUGGAGGAACACCGGUGGCGAAGGCGGCAUCCUGGACCAACACUGACGCUGAGGAGCGAAAGCGUGGGUAGCAAACAGG
rnacentral:rRNA from 1 species